rnacentral:rRNA from 1 species
UACGGGAGGCAGCAGUGGGGAAUAUUGCACAAUGGGCGCAAGCCUGAUGCAGCCAUGCCGCGUGUAUGAAGAAGGCCUUCGGGUUGUAAAGUACUUUCAGCGGGGAGGAAGGCGAUGUGGUUAAUAACCGCGUCGAUUGACGUUACCCGCAGAAGAAGCACCGGCUAACUCCGUGCCAGCAGCCGCGGUAAUACGGAGGGUGCAAGCGUUAAUCGGAAUUACUGGGCGUAAAGCGCACGCAGGCGGUCUGUUAAGUCAGAUGUGAAAUCCCCGGGCUUAACCUGGGAACUGCAUUUUGAACUGGCAGGCUUGAGUCUCGUAGAGGGGGUAGAAUUCCAGGUGUAGCGGUGAAAUGCGUAGAGAUCUGGAGGAAUACCGGUGGCGAAGGCGGCCCCUGGGACGAAGACUGACGCUCAGGUGCGAAAGCGUGGGGAGCAAACAGGAUUAGGAUACC